AACGAACGCUGGCGGCAUGCCUAACACAUGCAAGUCGAACGAGACCUUCGGGUCUAGUGGCGCACGGGUGCGUAACGCGUGGGAACCUGCCCUUAGGUUCGGAAUACCUCAGAGAAAUUUGAGCUAAUACCGGAUGAUGUCUUCGGACCAAAGAUUUAUCGCCUUUAGAUGGGCCCGCGUUGGAUUAGCUAGUUGGUGGGGUAAAGGCCUACCAAGGCGACGAUCCAUAGCUGGUCUGAGAGGAUGAUCAGCCGCACUGGGACUGAGACACGGCCCAGACUCGUACGGGAGGCAGCAGUGGGGAAUAUUGGACAAUGGGCGAAAGCCUGAUACAGCAAUGCCGCGUGAGUGAUGAAGGCCUUAGGGUUGUAAAGCUCUUUUACCCGAGAUGAUAAUGACAGUAUCGGGAGAAUAAGCUCCGGCUAACUCCGUG
rnacentral:rRNA from 1 species